GAGACACCCCUAUGGAGCGGGACUUGCUUCAGUGGGGCUUUGGUGCUCCGAGUCUGCCCCUUGAGUGUGUCACU
rnacentral:pre_miRNA from 1 species